CACAAGGUCUUGGUCUUAAACCCAAUAUUACUUAUACUCCUUAAUUAUACAUGCAAGCCUCACCACAACGGUGAAAUAGCCUACCAAUAUCAACCUAGAGCCGGUAUAAGGCAACUAAGCCCACAACACCAAGCUAUACUAAGCCACACCCCCACGGGCCCGCAGCAGUAGUUAAUAUUAGGCCAUAAGCGAAAGCUUGACCUAGCAAAGGAAUUCACCCAGGGCCGGUUAAUCCCCGUGCCAGCGACCGCGGUUACACGACAGACCCAAAAUAAUAUUAACGGCGUAAAGCACGACUAAAUAGCCAGUCCACACAUUAGGAACGAAACCAAACUAGGCUGUAAAAAGCCAUAAGCCACAAUAACCCCCACCCUAACAACAAACAACUUCCACUCGUGAAAGCUAGGAUACAAACUAAGAUUAGAUACCUUACUAUGCCUAACCAUAACACAACAAUAAAAUCACAUAUUGUUCGCCAAAUAACUACGAGUAAAAACUUAAAAUUUAAAAGACUUGACGGUACCCCACAACAACCUAGAGGAGCCUGUUCAGUAACCGAUACUCCACGAUUAAUCCAACCUUCCCUAGCCUACCAGUCUAUAUACCGCCGUCGCCAGCCUACCUUAUGAAAGAAACAAAGUAAGCCAAACAGCCACACACUAACACGACAGGUCGAGGUGUAACUCAUGGGGAGGACUAGAAUGGGCUACAUUAUCUAAUUCAGAUAACACGGAUAAACUAUGAAACAAGAAACUAAAGGCGGAUUUAGCAGUACACUAUGAACAAUAAUACCUAGUCGAAAUUAGCGCAAUGGGGUGCGUACACACCGCCCGUCAUCCCUGUCAACUUGACCAAAACAUUCAUAAACACAAACACUAAACCUAAAGCAGGGCAAGUCGUAACACGGUAAGCGUACUGGAAAGUGCGCUUAGAAA
rnacentral:ncRNA from 1 species